AUCAGAGAAAGCAACGUGAGGCCAACACUGAAGAUGGUGAUGCUUCUGUUGCUUCUGGGGCCAAGCUUCGGACUUUGUGCUCUAGUCUCUCAGCUUCCAAGCAGGGCCAUCUGUAAGAGUGGGUCCUCUGUGAAGAUUCAGUGUCGCUGUGUGGACUUUCAAGCCACAACCGUGAUUUGGUACCGUCAGUUCCCAGAACAGAGUUUCACUCGGAUGGCGAUUUCUAAUGAGGGCUCCGGUGUCACCUAUGAAACUGGUUUUGAAAGGGCCAAGUUUCCCAUCAGCCACCCUAACCUAACCUUUGCAACUCUUACGGUGACAAGCACGGUUCCAGAAGACAGCAGCUUCUACUUCUGUGGUGCUAGUGACACAGCACUUGGUAGAAAUUAG